rnacentral:tRNA from 1 species
AGACAGCGAGCUCAGUGGCAGAGAGUUGGGCUUAAAAACCCAAUGAUUAGAGAUCCUGAGUUCGAAUCCCAGGUUUUCCA